GACGAACGCUGGCGGCGUGCUUAACACAUGCAAGUCGAACGGAAAGGCCCUGCUUUUGUGGGGUGCUCGAGUGGCGAACGGGUGAGUAACACGUGAGUAACCUGCCCUUGACUUUGGGAUAACUUCAGGAAACUGGGGCUAAUACCGGAUAGGAGCUCCUGCUGCAUGGUGGGGGUUGGAAAGUUUCGGCGGUUGGGGAUGGACUCGCGGCUUAUCGGCUUGUUGGUGGGGUAGGUGUUUACCAAGGGUUUGAGGGAUAGCCGGCCUGGGAGGGGGGCCGGCCUCAUGAGUACUAAGAGACGGCCCAGUCGGCAAUGGGAGGCAGUGGUGGGGAAUAUGACGCAGUAGCGGGGAGUCUGUGGCGGCGGCGCUCGGUGCGGAAUGCCGUCUUAUGGGUUGAAAACCGCUUUCGCCGGUGACAUGGCGGGAGUGACGGUAAUGAGUAAAAAAGCACCGGCUAACUACGUG
rnacentral:rRNA from 1 species